UCACUUAGUACUUUGGUCGGUUUUUUUUUUUUUAGUAAUUAUUUGUAUGACUACUUUUUCCUUUUACUUCAGUCAUAUUACUCCCGGUACUCUUUCUUGUAUACAAUUUUUGGCUACGCUCCCCUUCUCUGGUAUAAGGGGUCUCCAAAAUGGCCGACGGCUGAUGAUGUCCACUUUAGCCCGGAUACACGCAUUCGAAAUAACAACAAGAGUGCCUUAAGUGUUUCCAACUCACCGUUGUCCGUGUUGACGUCGCAGACUCCUGCUAAUCGUCCUGCGAGCUCACCUCGAGGCCGGGCGUGCUUAUAAAGGCGCUAAUGCUGACUGACGGCCCGUCAUAUUGGGGUCGCCGCACGUGACGCUGCCGCCAGGAUGAUCAGCUCAACGCCAGAAGGGUCCCCGGCGGUGGAGGCCGCGCCGAAUCCAAAAUUGAGGUAGCGGCAUUACACCUGCAGAUGGUCAGACCAUCAAUCAGCACGUGACGUCCACAAAGAGAUCCUGUAGCGCUUGCUUUGUGACUACCUGAACACAUCUGACACACCUGGUAUACUUCUACAUGAUUACUUGAUUCUCAUGACAAGAAGCUUCAUGGCCUGAUUUAUGUCUUCAUCCACAUUCAGAAUUCUCCAAAAAAAAAAAAAAACAUGACUGAACCUCUAUUGCGAAAUGUGCGACUAAACACACACAAUUAUUCUUUCAUUUCAAGCUGAGUAAAUAUGUAUUAAGCAGGAAACACACACAGGAGGAUUGUGAAAGUGUGUGAUUGCAGCCGCUAUGACUAAAGCCUGUUUAUGAUGCGGGCCAGUAAUUACAGUAAUUAUGUAAAAGUGCUCCUUGCACACACUAAUGACACUUGGCAGUCAGUUCAUUUAAAGUCUUUGUCCAAAGUUUAUUUUAGUAUUUCAGUGUUCUUCUCGCUGCUUUGGCAUGAAGGAAACAUCACACUAAUUAGUCCGGACUGAUGAAGUGCAGAUUAAAUCUAAUAUCGUUAGGCUUUUUUGGCUCAGUGGCAAAUAAUACGACUGAUUUGGUGUUUGUGUUCAUUAAAUAUAAAUUGUUAAUGGACCUUUAACACAUGUCAAUGACCUCCACCAGUAACAUUAAAGUGGGACAUCGAUAGACAGCAGGUUGCCAUGGUAACAGAGCUAAAGACAGGCUUACCUUUAGCCAUCUUAUUGAGGACCAUGUCGAUUAAAAUGUACGUCCCUGUCCUUCCAGCGCCGUCACUGUGAGGGAGCGCACACACACACACACGGUCAGGAAACAGAAGGAGAAAGAGAAUAAAUUAUAUACGUUUGUAGAAAAUGGAUGGAUGGAUGGAUACAUAUCAUUCAAAAACAUUAAAAUAAUAGGAUAUAUAAAACCUUAGAACAAUUUCAACGUUAAACUCCUUAAUCUGCAUUUUUUUUAACAUUAUGUUAACUUUAUUAGAUUUUUUACUUGUUUAAUUAAAAUAUUUAGUUUAAAAAAAAAAUUGUCAUUAAAUAAAUUAUUUUUAUUUUAGCUGACAAUUUUUUUUUUUUUUUUUUUUUUUAUAUAUUACAAUUUUUUAUUUUAGCUGACAAUUUUAAUUUUUAAAAAUAUUUUUGUUGUAUUAUUUCAGGACAAUGUUAUUUUUGUAAUUAAUAAUAAUAACAAUUACAACAACAAUAAUGUAUAAUUGUUUAUUCAACAUUGAGCUAACAAUUGGACUCAGUUAACGUUAUUUGAUUUUUUACUUAAUUCUUUAAUUAAAAUAUUUAUUUUUAUUUUUAAUUAAUUUGUCAUUAAAUAAAUUAUUCUUAUUUUUAAUUUUAGCUGACAAUUAGAAUUUAAAAAAAUUAUUUCAGGACAACAUUUAAUUUUUGUAAUGUGUAAUCAUUAUCGAUAAUAAUUACAACAACAAUAAUAUAUAAUUGUUUAUUCAACAGUGAGCUAACAAUUGGACUCGGGAGGUUCAAGGGGAAACAUAAUUAUUAUUAUCAUUAUUAUUAUUAAUAAUAACAAUUACAACAACAAUAAUAUAUAAUUGUUUAUUCAACAUUGAGCUAACAAUUGGACUCAGUUAACUUUAUUAGAUUUUUUACUUAAUUGUUUAAUUCAAAUAUUUAGGUUUUUUUUUUUAAAUUAAUUUGUCAUUAAAGAAAUUAUGAUUUCUUAAAAUUUUAGCUGACAAUUUGAAUUUUUUUGGAUAUUUGUGUUGUAUUAUUUCAGGAAAAAAAUGUAUUUUUGUAAUGUGUAAUUAUUAUUAAUAAUAAUAACAAUUACAACAACAAUAAUAUAUAUCUGUUUAUUCAACAUUGAGGUAACACUCAGGAGGUUCAAAGUGAAACAUCAUAAAAGGUUGUGUAUUAAAAGCGACCAAAAAAGUAUAUAGUUUAAAAUGUAUAUUGUUAAACAAGCCGAUGCAUAGUAAAAAUGUCAUUAUCAUUGUUAUUACAUUGAUUUACUCAACAUCUCACCAACAAUUGGUCUAAUGCGAAACAUUAUGAAUGUUGCAUAUUAAAAGACACAAAAAACAACAAAUAAUGUUGUCUUGGGAUUUAUUAAAUCAGAAUUAUUUGGAAUUCUUAUUGGAAAUAUUUCAAAGACCCUACUAACUAGUACAGGUGUGUACACGUUGAUAGAAAACACACCUGUUUUGAAGGCUAAAUGUUAUUAAGGUAUGUGGUUAUUAAAGUAGUCUACUUGCCUGCAGUGUACGAUGACGGGACAGGAACGCCCGCGGUAACACUUGUUCACCUUCCUGCAACAAACAACAACACACAAGGAGGAUGUUCACUUCUAUACGUAAUUAUUACUUCACGUCCUGUCUGAUUGACUUGAAAUAAAGACGUUGAUUAACAGGAAGCAGGUGAUGGAGGCUCACCAACCUUUAUCUUUCAUCUCUGAUUCUCUUUCAAGUAGACAAUAUUCAACAUGUCAUGCAUUAAACAUUCAUCUUCUUUUAUUCUUCUUUGGACUCAAGGUUGCCUUUAACAUUUUGUCCUAAGAAUCCUCAUUCCUCACUGGCCACUUCAUUAGGCACACCAUAGAAUGGUUGUAACACUUCUAGCGAUCCAUCCAGGCGUGGGGGGAGUGGUUUGUGAUGGUAGGGGGCAGCGGGGGAGCGGGGGGGUUUGCCUCGCCCUCUCUUUCUCUCUCUCGUUCUCCGCCCCCGCACUUUCAUCCCGCACCCCGAGUCAGAGCUCGGUGCAGACAGUCAAAAGUCACGUUACCAUGGAAACAGCCGGCAGAGGGAAUCUGUGGGGGUUCACGGAGGGAGGGGUGCAGAAGUGGGAGGGAGGCAACGCCCUGCUUCAGAUUCUCACUUGACUAGAGCAAACAGUGGAGAUGGACGAGCCAGAGUCACUUUCAGGAAUCGAACAACAAUCUCUUGAUUGACUCCUUGCCUAUCCCGCUCUAUAUGGACGUCAUUGAGUAUUUUGAGGCUUGUUGGCGUGGGAGAAGGAGGUAGGGGAGGGGCUUGGUGAUCAAAGUGGGCGGGGCUAAAUUAAACAAUGAGCAAGCAAAAAGGAGCGAGGGCACCUCGGGUCAGAAGAAGCGGAGAAGAUGGCGAGAAGAGCACAAAGGAG